rnacentral:rRNA from 1 species
UCUCCUACGGGACGCAGCAGUGGGGAAUAUUGCACAAUGGGGGGAACCCUGAUGCAGCGACGCCGCGUGGGCGAUGGAGUAUUUCGGUAUGUAAAGCCCUAUCGGCAGGGAAGAAACUGACAGUACCUGACUAAGAAGCCCCGGCUAACUACGUGCCAGCAGCCGCGGUAAUACGUAGGGGGCAAGCGUUAUCCGGAUUCACUGGGCGUAAAGGGAGCGCAGGCGGCACGGCAAGCCCGGUGUGAAAACCCGGGGCCCAACCCCGGAAGUGCAUUGGGAACCGCCGCGCUCGAGUGCCGGAGGGG